rnacentral:rRNA from 1 species
AUUGAACGCUGGCGGCAUGCUUUACACAUGCAAGUCGAACGGUAACAGGCCGCAAGGUGCUGACGAGUGGCGAACGGGUGAGUAAUGCAUCGGAACGUGCCCAGUCGUGGGGGAUAACGCAGCGAAAGCUGCGCUAAUACCGCAUACGAUCUAAGGAUGAAAGCGGGGACCGUAAGGCCUCGCGCGAUUGGAGCGGCCGAUGUCAGAUUAGGUAGUUGGUGGGGUAAAGGCUCACCAAGCCGACGAUCUGUAGCUGGUCUGAGAGGACGACCAGCCACACUGGGACUGAGACACGGCCCAGACUCCUACGGGAGGCAGCAGUGGGGAAUUUUGGACAAUGGGCGCAAGCCUGAUCCAGCAAUGCCGCGUGCAGGAAGAAGGCCUCGGGUUGUAAACUGCUUUUGUACGGAACGAAACGGCUCUGGUUAAUACCCGGGGCUAAUGACGGUACCGUAAGAAUAAGCACCGGCUAACUACGUGCCAGCAGCCGCGGUAAUACGUAGGGUGCGAGCGUUAAUCGGAAUUACUGGGCGUAAAGCGUGCGCAGGCGGUGCUGUAAGACAGGCGUGAAAUCCCCGGGCUUACCUGGGAGUGGCGCUUGUGACUGCAGUGCUGGAGUGCGGCAGAGGGGGAUGGAAUUCCGCGUGUAGCAGUGAAAUGCGUAGAUAUGCGGAGGAACACUGAUGGCGAAGGCAAUCCCCUGGGCCUGCACUGACGCUCAUGCA